CCUACGGGAUGCACCAGUGGGGAAUAUUGCACAAUGGGCGCAAGCCUGAUGCAGCCAUGCCGCGUGUAUGAAGGAGGCCUUAGGGUUGUAAAGUACUUUCAGUUGGGAGGAAGGCGUUGAUGCUAAUAUCAUCAACGAUUGACGUUACCAACAGAAGAAGCACCGGCUAACUCCGUGCCAGCAGCCGCGGUAAUACGGAGGGUGCAAGCGUUAAUCGGAAUUACUGGGCGUAAAGCGCACGCAUGCGGUUGAUUAAGUUAGAUGUGAAAUCCCCGGGCUUAACCUGGGAAUGGCAUCUAAGACUGGUCAGCUAGAGUCUCGUAGAGGGGGGGGUAGAAUUCCAUGUGUAGCGGUGAAAUGCGUAGAGAUGUGGAGGAAUACCGGUGGCGAAGGCGGCCCCCUGGACAAAGACUGACGCUCAGGUGCGAAAGCGUGGGGAGCGAACAGGAUUAGAUACCCCUGUAGUC
rnacentral:rRNA from 1 species